rnacentral:rRNA from 1 species
GUCCUAAUGGAAAAAUAUUAGGUCUGACCUGCCCAAUGACAUUUGUUUAAUGGCCGCGGUAAUUCUGACCGUGCAAAGGUAGCAUAAUCAUUAGUCUUUUAAUUGAAGGCUCGUAUGAAUGGUUGGACGAAGAAUAAACUGUUUCAAAAAAACAUAUUGAAUUUAACUUUUAAGUGAAAAGGCUUAAAUAAAUUAAAAAGACGAUAAGACCCUAUAAAUCUUCACAUUAAAAUUAAUAACUAUUUAAUUUAUUUAAGUUUAAAAUAAAAUAUUAAUUUAUUGUUAUGUUGGGGCGACAAAUAUAAAAAAAAAUUAACUGUAUUUUUUUUCUUUUUUAAACAAAUAUUAUUGAAUAAUAGAUCCUUCUUAAAGAUUUAAAGAUUAAGUUACUUUAGGGAUAACAGCGUUAUUCUUUUUGAGAGUUCCCAUCGAAAAAAGAGUUUGCGACCUCGAUGUUGAAUUAAAAUUUCUUUAUGGUGCAGCCGCUAUAAUAGAAAGUCUGUUCGACUUUUAAAAUUUUACAUGAUUUGAGUUCAAACCGGCGUGAG